GAUGAACGCUGGCGGCGUGCCUAAUACAUGCAAGUCGAGCGAACAUACUAUGGUCUUGCUCCUCUGACGUUUGCGGCGGACGGGUGAGUAACACGUGUAUAACCUCCCUCUAAGACUGUGAUAACUUCGUGAAACCGGAGCUAAUACCGGAUAAUAUAUUGUACCGCAUGUUUCAAUAGUGAAAGACGUUUUUUCUGUCACUUAUAGAUGUAUCCUCGCCGCAUUAGCUAGUUGGUAAGGUAACGGCUUACCAAGGCAACGAUGCGUAGCCGACCUGAGAGGGUGAUCGGCCACACUGGAACUGAGACACGGUCCAGACUCCUACGGGAGGCAGCAGUAGGGAAUCUUCCGCAAUGGGCGAAAGCCUGACGGAGCAACGCCGCGUGAGUGAUGAAGGUCUUCGGAUCGUAAAGCUCUGUUAUUAGGGAAGAACAAAUGUGUAAGUAACAAUGCAAGUAGAGACGGUACCUAAUCAGAAAGCCACGGCUAACUACGUG
rnacentral:rRNA from 1 species